rnacentral:rRNA from 1 species
AUGAACGCUAGCGACAGGCCUAACACAUGCAAGUCGAGGGGCAGCACAAGGAGCAAUCUGAGGUGGCGACCGGCGCACGGGUGAGUAACACGUAUGCAACCUGCCUGUAAGCGGGGAAUAACCCGUUGAAAGACGGACUAAUACCGCAUAAUACUAAAUUACUGCAUGGUAAUUUAUUUAAACAUUUAUGGCUUACAGAUGGGCAUGCGCAUGAUUAGCUAGUUGGAGAGGUAACGGCUCCCCAAGGCAACGAUCAUUAGGGGUUCUGAGAGGAAGGUCCCCCACACUGGUACUGAGACACGGACCAGACUCCUACGGGAGGCAGCAGUGAGGAAUAUUGGUCAAUGGACGAGAGUCUGAACCAGCCAAGUCGCAUGCAGGAAGAAUUGUCCUAUGGAUUGUAAACUGCUUUUGCAGGGGAAUAAAGUGCAUCACGUGUGAUGUUUUGUAUGUACUCUGCGAAUAAGGAUCGGCUAACUCCGUGCCAGCCGCCGC